rnacentral:tRNA from 1 species
ACCUUCGUGGUGUAGUGGUCAGCACGCUCGACGCGUAACCCAGAGGUUUGUGGUUCGAUUCCCGGCGAAGGCG